UUUCCUUCACUUUUGAGAAAAUCAAUUUUUCUUUUUCUCAUCUUCUCUCUUUCCAUUGUCGAUUCAACAGAUUCUUCUAAGUGAUUUCAGGCUUAUAAACACAGAGUUUCAUCGACAGAUCUGAAGAAUCAAUAUCAACGGCAAUGUCGGAGGUGGUGGAUCUGAAGACCCUUGUGUCAAUGAUGGCGUCGGAGAUGGUGGUGGAAGUGAAGGACCACCGAAGAUGCUCGCACCUUUUACCACCGCCACUACGUUUUGAAGCUUCCGCCAGUUCACCACCAAUACAUCUCGGCCGCCGCCGUCGUUUUGUUCUCCGUUGCUCCGCUGCCGCAAUAGUACAUUUCCACCGUCGUUUUGUUCUCCGUUCCAAUAGUUGUAUAGAUAUAUAUUUAUUCUACAUAUAAUAUAAUGAAUUUAAGAAACAAAUAAAAACUAUUAUUAAUUUCUUUUU